CAAUAGCGUAUAUUUAAGUUGUUGCAGUUAAAAAGCUCGUAGUCGGAUUUUGGCUGAGAACGAACGGUCCGCCGUUAGGUGUGCACUGUUUGGUCUCAGCUUCCUGGUGAGGAGGUGUGCUUCACGGCCACUUAGUCACCGUGGUUACUUUGAAAAAAUUAGAGUGUUCAAAGCGGGCUUACGCUUGAAUAUAUUAGCAUGGAAUAACACCAUAGGACUCCUGUCCUAUUUCGUUGGUCUCGGGACGGGAGUAAUGAUUAAGAGGAACAGUUGGGGGCAUUCGUAUUUCAUUGUCAGAGGGGAAAUUCUUGGAUUUAUGAAAGACGAACUUCUGCGAAAGCAUUUGCCAAGGAUGUUUUCAUUGA
rnacentral:rRNA from 1 species